GCUUCGGAAAGGAACCUGAAUUUCACCUUCAGUUAUUUUUAUUACUACUUUUAUUUUCUUCUGGCGUGGCUCGCCUUUGUCCUGGGGUCUCCGAGGGCCCAGAUUCAGGAAACUCAUUGCAGCUCCUUAAGAUUUGGGAGCUAAAGCAGAGCCCUGGCCCUUGGGGAGAUGGACAAAAAUGAGACUGGAGCGCUAAGCAAAUACAAUGCUGAGGUCUGUAAUUUAAGAAAACGAGGUAGAGGCUGCAGUUUAGCCCAGUGAACUUUGAAGAUCUACAUGCUGAAAACGAGGCUGAUUUUCCACCUUUCCAAUGAAUUCCCUGCCUAUCUUAAAUCCUGCAAAAUGUCACACUGGAAAACAUGUGUGCUCCAAAACCAGCAACUUGGAAGCUGUUGAAUAAAUAAGCACCCCUGUCUCUCCAAUACCAUCUCCCUCAACAAGAUCUUCCAYUGCUGUUGUUAGAGAGCCUGGGGAAAGGCAGUGGUUUUGCUGGAGCUCCUCUGUGGGCAGGCUCUGCUGGGGAGAACUUUGGUUUUGCAAACUGAAGAGCCCCUGAUGAACUGCAGAAGCARAAGGCUUCUUGCUUGUCCCUCUAUCUCAGGGGUUGCAGAGGGCUCCUUCAUCC